AAUUAAUAAUAAGAAGCAAAUUGCAUUUAGUUUCGACCUAAAAGAUAGGCUACAAAUAAUAGCCCUUAUUUU
rnacentral:tRNA from 1 species